rnacentral:lncRNA from 10 species
AUGCUAUGUGGAAGCCGAAGCCACACCUCCCACAUGGCCCCUCUGGCCAGCCGGGCAUCUCAGGUGAGAACUGCACACAGGCCCGCAGCAGCAGCUCCACCGCCAGCAGCAGCACCCUCUCUGCAGUUGGCUCUCCUGCUGCUGUGCCCUUGCAGCCAGGUCUGAUGCCCAGAUGGCAACCAUAGCAGUUGGCGUGGCUGUGGGCUCUGCUGUGGGGCACACAUUAGGUCAUGCCAUCACUGGAGGCUUCCAUGGAGGAAGUAAUGCUGAGCCUUGCAAGGCCCCACAUCGCUUAUCAGGAGCCUCAGGGAACCCAGCCGGCACAGGGGCAGGCUUACUUAUAUGAGAUAAAGCCGUUUUUGGAAUAUGCUCAGAACCUGAGUGACAUAAAUCUCUGUAAGAGUUUCGAUGAGGUGCUGAAACAGUGCAGACUUGCAAAUGAGUUGGCCAAA